rnacentral:lncRNA from 1 species
UGGUCGCUAGUUGAAAUGUUUUAUGACCUAAAAUUUCUAUUCCUUAAACCGGGAUAUUCCUUUAAAAGGUAUUCUAAUAAGCGGGUUUGACUGUACUAUAAUUUUCAUUAAUAUGCAUCAAGAAAUCCCUACUUUGUUAACACACGUAGUCAAACUAGGUGAUCUAUAAAUGUUAAAGGUGCUAUUGUUUACGAUUAUUUGAUUGGCCCACAUUUUUUUUGACGGUUGAGGUUUUUACACGACGGUGCUCCAGUUCUUCCAAAA